ensembl:lincRNA
GUGGUCUGAGGACACCAUGACAGUCACAGCAGUGUAUGAUAACUCUGAGGCAACAGAGCUCUGUGCAGCUCAGCACCUCUACCUCAAGCCCAUAGCAAAAUUGUUGAUCAGCAUAUUGCUUCCAGGGAGUCUAGAACCUGUGAGGCCCUUCUCUAACUGGGAAGUUCUUGACCAGCUGAAGAGCCUGAUUUGCCCUGACCAGUUCACCACAGUUUGGCUUUCCAAUAGUACAGAGGACUUCAUUCGAUUUGAGGGUGAGGCUGAGACCCGAAGUUUGGUUCAGAUCCUGAAGGCAAAGUUACAUGGGAAGAUGAUCAAGUUAAAUGGUUUGAAAAAAGACUUAAAAGUAGUGGCUACAGAUGCCCAGAGAGAAUGGGAGCACUUCCCCAAGGGAAGAGAGCCCUUGUUGAGUGACGGGGCUGAAGGACCAUGAGAAGAGCCCAGAUUCCAUAUAUUUUGAAGACUUGCCCUGUAAAUGGUUUGCACCUAAAAGUUCUAGCAAGGAGAAGCCAUGUGAAGAGAUCCUUUGGGUAGUCUUUGAAAGUUUUGGGAAGAUCAAGAAUGUGGAUAUCCUUAUGCUUGGCCCCUACAGAGAAGUGAUGACUGACAGGAGCUUUGGGGGUUUUAGCUUUGGCUUACAGACAUUUGAGGCCUUCAUACAGUACCAAGAGGCAACUGACUUUGUAAAAGCCAUGCAGUCCCUUCGAAGAAUGAAACUGAUGCUUAAAGGAGAUGAUGGGAAAGCUCUGGCAUGUAACGUUAAGGUUACGUCUGAUACGACCAAACACUUUGGGGAAGGAGCUGUAAGGAGGAGAAAUCAGGAAAGGCUAAAAUUACAAGAACUAGAAGAAGAAAGGAAAAAAGAAAAGAGAAGAGAAGAGGAAGUAGCUGAAAGGAAACAGAAGCCCAAAGCCAAAGCUGAGGCACCUCAAGAGCCGGACUCUUCAGAGGAGUGGGAGAAGAGGCAGUACCUAGUGUCUCAGCGGCAAGUUGAGGCACUUCGGUUCCUAAGUGUACUCCUGAGGAACAUUUCAGGAAGGCUAUUGCCAAAUUGUUCUUCAAGUUUGGGAUCCACACAGUUUAACCCACAGGAGGUCGACAUUAUUGGCACCAAAGCUAAUGCUUCUCGAGGGAACACAUUGAAAACUCUGGAGGAAGAAGAGCUAAACACUCUGCAUCUUCAAAAUCAAGAGGAAAUAUCAAAAUAUCAGGUUGCCAAGUCAGACAAUAAGCAAAAACAAAAAAUGGAGAAAAUAACUAGGGAUCACUUACAGAAAUCUUCCCACUGCCUUGGGGAAGAAAAUUUAAGGUAUUCCCCUAGAAAACAGAGAACUGGAAUAUUAUUAGGUGAUGAAGAAUAUGAAUACAGUUUGUUUUUUGAGCAUAACUCCUUGGAGAUUACGAUAAUUAAAGGCCAGUCUCUUGAAAAUGAAGAUCACCACGGUUCUAGUGAAUCCUGUUCCAAAUUAUCUGGGAGAGGCCAAGGCAGGAAACCUAAGAUCCAUGAAACAGAUGCAUUUUUUGACUAUCUUUUCAAUUAUUAUGAAGCUCCACAAUAUACUCGUAUCUGCCUAGAAACAAGUCAGGUAGCAGGCACAUGUCAGUGGCAGAGGGAUGUUCAAACUAAGGGAGAUGGAUUUCAGAUUAGUUUGAGAAAGCGUAGGCAUCACUCAAUCAAUUCGAGCCAAGGGGAAAACCUGGAAAGGAAAGAACAGGUUCAAGAAAAUGAUUACUCAUCAAACGUUUGUACUCAGGAUCCUGAGCAUAAACGAGGAAAAGUAGAUUAUGCCAAAGAAUGUACUAAUGGGUUUAAAACUCAUUGCCAGGAGACAGCCCAUAAAGCUGGUGGUCAGCUGUCCCCAACUGAUGGAAACAGCUGUCUGUUGGAAAAGACUCAUACUUAUAUUGAAGAUUCCAAAUCCACAAGGAAAAGCCAAGUGUCCACACCCCACGAGUCAAUAGGCUUAGAUUUACAGUUGACAGAUUUCUUAGAGGAAAUUAGUAGUGAUUCUGAAUGCUUCAGUGAAACCCUUAGUAUAAACAAAGAGGAGAAAGAGAAAUCUGUGGCCACAUUUAAUAGUUUCUCAGAAAAAGAACCUCUUGACACUGACAAAAUGAUCACACGCAAACAAAAUACAAGGUUGAGUCAGCAGACAUUUUUUUCAAAGUGGAGGAGUGAUGGUGAGGAAAAAUACUCUAAUUACAGGUUUAGGACACCAGGCAGGAAGUCUGAGUAUGAACCGAAAUGGAUAUGUUCAUGGCGUAGGGGUGAAAGUCAUUUCAUUACACAUGAAAACAAUAAUGACCAAAUGAAGGAACAGAUAGCUCCCAAAUACUUGUUUGACGAAGAUUACUACCAGGAACCCAGUUCCAGUUAUCUAGAGGGGAGGUUUAGUGAUAGUGCAUUGGAUCAGAAAGUGAACUAUGGGCCCUCUCAGGUGCCCGUAACGUCAUCAAGAAGGGCUAGGUCUUUCUAUUUUGGUAAUUUUCACAGAAGAAGAGGGACUCCUUGGAAGUCAGAAUAUAACCAGAAUUCAAGAAGGUUUAGAGGAUGUAAUUAUAACUAUUUCAAAUUCAAUUCUGAUUAUCACUAUAGUAGACAAAAUGGUCAGGAGUAUAUUGACUAUGGAAGCUAUUCAGGAAAUAACUGCACUGGUUCUUUAAAUUUUGAAUGUUUUGAUGGCCACUUAGAUCAGGAGUAUCUUUUUUCACAGUAA